rnacentral:lncRNA from 1 species
AAUUCAUUAUAACCAUCGAACAGAUACGCUCAAAUAAUGAGAAAUAUCAUAUGAAAUCCAUAAAAUUAAAAGCAACUCUACCCAAUUUCCCAGUAACAAAGCUAAUUUAGCAGGCAAGCUCCAGGUAUUUGCUCAAUAUAUCCGGCAAUUAAAUUCUGCGAGAAAAUUCAAAAAAUAAGAACCAAGCUCAAUACCUUAAGAAUCUAUAACCUUGAUAAUUCCACAAAUCGCAAAUUAGGUAACAAUAAAGAACAGAGAGAUAUCCUAAAAUUGACAUUCAAUUAUGCAAGAAACAGUAAGAAAAAAUAAAUAACAAUGCUAAGACAAAAAAAUUUACUACAUCCCAAGUGAAAUUAACAACUUCAAUACCCAUAAGCGUAAUCGCGAUCAGAAAAAACAUGAACCCAACAAUAUCUCAAUGACAUUGAAAUAAGUAAAAUUAAAGAAAAAGAAAACUGACCUGAGCUAAUGAAGUAGCGAAUUUUAGGAAACAAGGGUUGAAUUUUGAGAAUCGGAAGAGCAAGAUCAGUAGGUGAUCGAGCUUCGACGAAGAAAAGGGCAGAAAAGAAAAGAGGGAAAAAAUUUAGGGCUUUAGAACGUUGUCUUUUC